rnacentral:rRNA from 1 species
AUGUUGUCUAGGAAACAAAAGCUCCUAGAGAAGAAGAAAUGGGAUGUGCUCAUUAGCACCGAUGCUACCGAAGCUCAAGGAUUUCUAUUUGAAGGAGGGGGUGAUUAUGCAAGCGUUGUUUAUCUUGAUGAGGAGGAUGGAGAUGUUCAUCCGGGUACGGGGAUAUCAUGGGAUCUACUUGGUGAAGCAAUGGGAGCACAAGAGCAACUCCAACUUCAGAGGAGUGCAAGAGUGAGAGACCUUGAGGAGGAGUUUGAAUCCGAUCAUGAUGAUGAGAUAGUAGAUGAAGAUGAGAUUGAGUAUGAGGAUGAUUGA